GUUGGCUCACAUUACCCUCUCUCCCACACAAGGCUCGCACCGGAGGCUGCUCUGUAAUUUCACACAGGCGCGGCGCGGCGGCGAUUCCCCACCGGCGAUAUGUCGACGGACGGACUUGAGCUCGACGGGAGGGGGGAGCACACAUCGGCGGAUGGGGUUGUGAUGUGUUUUCAGUGGAAUCCCAAGAUUCCAUGAGUGCACCAGUUCUUGAGCUCGAGAAGGGCGGCGAAGGACGUAGAGCUGGAGAUGGACAGAGAUACGAGGUCUGCUUUGAAGCUACCAGCGGCCGGACGAGGAGUCUGUAGGCAAAGAGAAACAGAGCACUUAGGUGGUUCCCCGCUCCGGCGGCGGCUCAACUCCAAUCUGCAGAACACCGGAUCUGCCAAGGGCAAGGCCCUCGUCCACGGAUCUGAAGGGGAAAAAUCAUUUUCUUCGUUGUUUCGGUCGGUGAGGCUGUAUCACACGUCAAUUACUUGCGCUUUUCUCCUAGCUAUUGUUCAUCAGUUUCAGAUUUGAACUUUUUUGGUGAUUUUUAUUUUGUUCCAUCUAUUCCUUUGGUACGGGUGAUCUAGCUGUAUGGCUCGAUCGAGAUGCAUAUCACUUUUCUUGUUGACUCCGAAAUAGACUGCUCUCCUUUAUUUUCUUGUAAUCCCCUUCCAUCUAUUCCUUCUGUACAGAUGUGGUUUUCUUUUGUUUACUUGUAAUCCCCUUUGUCCGGAUUGGAUAGGUCUCUCCUCAUCUUGUUGUUGCGCAGAUCCGAAUUUGCCGUGAUGUAUUUUUAGACAAUUUAGAGAAUUUUUUUAUUCAUACCCAUGCUUAUGUGCCAGACCGGCUUAAUUUUUGUGAUUUCUUAGAUUCCUCUAACUUGGAUAAUAGAUGGUUAAUCGUACUGGAACUUAAUAGUAGAUUUGAUGUUCUGUUCUUGAUGUGCUAAUCCAAGGUUGAUAAUUAUUUCAUUCAAGUGGGGUAAAGUUUGAAUUCCUACCACUGAUUGCAAAGAUCUUCUGUUCCAUGGAUUUCAGUUUGUUUUGUUGACCCCUUUCCCACUACAGUCACAGAACUGAGCAAUGUUGAUGGUCAAGUGUGCCGUGGCGGCGAGGCCACAUUCCUUGCCGGAAACGCUGGUUCGGGAGCUACAAGUGGCUGGACAAGAAGAAUCAUGCUGAUAUGGUCUGUAUCAUGAACCCUGAAGUAGAAGGCUGCAUUUUCCUACUGUUGUGAUCUUGUAAUAUUGCCUUCUGGCCAAAUCAGCAAAAUCCCUGGUUGAAGCUGCGCAAGCUCUGUUUCUUUGGCUGUUGUUCCCUCUCAGCAAUCCAUUCGACUCGGGUAUAUGUUUGUAAUUAUUGUAAUGGAUUUGUACCAUUUGUGAACCAUGUCAAAUUGUUAAGGUGGGUGAUGGGUAUUACAACUAUGUAUGCAUGGUUGCUAGUUCUGUGCGUAGAACUUGAUCUGUGUAUUAGUCAAAACCGACACAUGUUGUGUGUUAGCUUAACAGGAAGAAACUGCAAUUGUCAAUGAGAGCAAUAUGUCGAGAAGGGAGAUGGCCCAGUGGUCUAAUGAUUUCUGUAACGGAGUGUUUGAAUCAUCUUCGUCUGGCAAACUAUUGUUAAUUGCUUUUCCCAACCGUGACCAUCCAUUCUUGGUGUAGGCG